rnacentral:lncRNA from 12 species
GUGAGAUUCUGUGAGAUCUGUUGCUCUGGCUCUGGCUCUGGCUCUGGCUCUGGCUCUGGCUCCCCUGGAUGCACACCGAAGCCUAGAGGUCUUCUGUCGUCAGCGCCCAUGGCCCUACCUCCACCUCAGGGCAGGAAGGCUGCCCAUGACAAAGGAGUCCAUUUCUCGCGGUUGACCCGAUCUCCUGGCAGCACCACAGGCUUGGCCGCCCUCCUGGAGAGUGAGAGAAUGUUCGGGAACAAUGUAAUGGUUGACCGUACAUUUAAACACCUCUGCCUUGUGUCGUGUGCAUGCUUCUCCUGUGUUUGCCUGGGCAACACUGGCUUUUCCUAGUCCGCCAUCUGGGCCUGUGCCUGGCAGCAACGAGGCUCUCUUGAGUUUAAUUGUACUGAAGGGCAAAAGGGCUUCAACUCUUCAACUUUCAGUUUUGGAGAUGAGUAAAAUUAGGGGGUUCUUUUUCUCAUGACAGAAAAUUCACCACAUCUGCCCCAUGUGGUGAGACACCUCACUUUUGCUUAAAACAGACAACAAUGCUCACAGACAAUCCAUGCCGUGUGAGCGCAACAGGUUUUUUUUUGUUUUUUUUUUUUUGUUUUUUUUACGGUCUCCUCUGUGGGUGUUUUUUUCCUCUUAUUUUCUUGUGACAAUCACGGUGUUACUACAACUACACGAGAUGCCACCUCUUUACCCCCUUUCAGCAAUUACAGAAAUUGGGGGCUGAAUCAUUACCCCUGCAUAAAAUUGUGACCGUUUUGGAAUAUAGUGGUAUCUCCUGCACUUCCCAUUGUACUGUAAGCGUGUGUUCAUGUUAUUAAAUAUCAUUCCAAGCGUUAAAUUGAAUCUGAAUCUUAAUUGUUAAGGACUUCACAAUAUUUCCAAUACGGGCAUGCUAUAAUUUAUCCAAACAUUCCCUUACCACUGAUCAACUCUCACUAGUAGAUGAAGAUUUUGAGUAGCACUAAGUGAAUACAAGUUAUAAAAAUCAUUAAUUGCACCCAGUGGAAAUUAGGUUCUGGAGAAGUACUAAUAAUUUAGUUAUCAGUUCUUAAAUGUUUUUUCUUACUUAUCUGCUUAUGAUAAUGCCUUCCUCAUUUUUUUUUAAAGAUUUUAUUUAUUUGUUUAUGAGAGACACACAGAGAGAGGCUUCCUCAUUAUUUUGAACAAAUAAUCAUGGUAGUCUUUUUUUGUGUUACCCACUUUAAAGACUUCGAUCUUUAGAAAAUGUGACAUUUUUUACUCACUUUUUGAUAGCAACUUACACAUUACUUGCCAGACUUUGACAAGUAUGGUUGGUUCAGAGUCUGUGUAUGUGUAGGACAGUGUGUGUGUAAAGAAUAAAUUAGGGACAUCAUGACA